GAUGAACGCUAGCUACAGGCUUAACACAUGCAAGUCGAGGGGCAGCAUGGUCUUAGCUUGCUAAGGCCGAUGGCGACCGGCGCACGGGUGAGUAACACGUAUCCAACCUGCCGUCUACUCUUGGACAGCCUUCUGAAAGGAAGAUUAAUACAAGAUGGCAUCAUGAGUCCGCAUGUUCACAUGAUUAAAGGUAUUCCGGUAGACGAUGGGGAUGCGUUCCAUUAGAUAGUAGGCGGGGUAACGGCCCACCUAGUCUUCGAUGGAUAGGGGUUCUGAGAGGAAGGUCCCCCACAAUGGAACUGAGACACGGUCCAAACUCCUACGGGAGGCAGCAGUGAGGAAUAUUAGUCAAGGGGCGCAGGCCUGAACCAGCCAAGUAGCGUGAAGGAGGACUGCCCUAUGGGUUGUAAACUUCUUUUAUAAAGGAAUAAAGUCGGGUAUGUAUACCCGUUUGCAUGUACUUUAUGAAUAAGGAUCGGCUAACUCCGUG
rnacentral:rRNA from 1 species